AACGAACGCUGGCGGCAUGCCUAACACAUGCAAGUCGAACGAGACCUUCGGGUCUAGUGGCGCACGGGUGCGUAACGCGUGGGAACCUGCCCUUAGGUUCGGAAUAACUCCCCGAAAGGGGUGCUAAUACCGGAUAAUGUCUUCGGACCAAAGAUUUAUCGCCUUUGGAUGGGCCCGCGUUGGAGUAGCUAGUUGGUAGGGUAAAAGCCUACCAAGGCGACGAUCCAUAGCUGGUCUGAGAGGAUGAUCAGCCACACUGGGACUGAGACACGGCCCAGACUCCUACGGGAGGCAGCAGUGGGGAAUAUUGGACAAUGGGCGAAAGCCUGAUCCAGCAAUGCCGCGUGAGUGAUGAAGGCCUUAGGGUUGUAAAGCUCUUUUACCCGGGAUGAUAAUGACAGUACCGGGAGAAUAAGCGCCGGCUAACUCCGUG
rnacentral:rRNA from 1 species